rnacentral:misc_RNA from 1 species
GAAAUGCGAUAAGUAAUGUGAAUUGCAGAAUUCAGUGAAUCAUCGAAUCUUUGAACGCACAUUGCGCCCCCUGGUAUUCCGGGGGGCAUGCCUGUUCGAGCGUCAUUUAUACCAAUCUAGCCCGGCUAGGUGUUGGGCUCCGCCGUUUGGCGGGCCUUAAAACCAGUGGCGGUGCUCUUAGGCUCUACGCGUAGUAAUUUUCUCGCUAUAGGGUCCUGGGAGAUGCUUGCCAGCAACCCCAAAUUUUUCUAGGUUGACCUCGGAUCAGGUAGGGAUACCCGCUGAACUUAA